AGGACGAACGCUGGCGGCGUGCUUAACACAUGCAAGUCGAGCGACGCUCCUCCUUCGGGAGGAUGACGGAGCGGCGAACGGGUGAGUAACACGUGGGCAACCUGCCCCUAGCUCUGGGAUAAGCCCGGGAAACCGGGUCUAAUACCGGAUAUGAGGUCGGAAGGCAUCUUCUGACUUGGAAAGUUUUUCGGCUAGGGAUGGGCCCGCGGCCUAUCAGCUUGUUGGUGAGGUAACGGCCCACCAAGGCGACGACGGGUAGCCGGCCUGAGAGGGCGACCGGCCACACUGGGACUGAGACACGGCCCAGACUCCUACGGGAGGCAGCAGUGGGGAAUAUUGCACAAUGGGCGAAAGCCUGAUGCAGCGACGCCGCGUGAGGGAUGACUGCCUUCGGGUUGUAAACCUCUUUCAGCAGGGACGAAGCGAAAGUGACGGUACCUGCAGAAGAGCACCGGCCAACUACGUGCCAGCAGCGGCGGUAA
rnacentral:rRNA from 1 species